CCACCACUUUAUCUUUUCAUCCAGAUUAAUAGAGUUAAGUAUAUUAGAGCUAGAGUAGUUUUAGGAUGGAUGACUUCUUAGGAAGUGGUGUUACAUAUAUCUAUGUGCGUUUUUUUUUAAGAAAGAAAGAUAGCAUGCUAUCCGCUUCGUUUAUUUUUUAAAAAGUAAAUUUAGCUGAAAAUAUUAAGCAACUAGAUUUCAAACUUAAAAUUUUGGAUACCAACCACUAAGUUCUUGGCCAUUUGUGCGUGUUGAUACACCUUAAUAGU
rnacentral:lncRNA from 1 species